AUUUAUUAUCAUAAAAUUCAGAAACAAAUAUUUUUACACUGUUUCAACCAUUUUCCAAAUGAAACUAACACUUUAGUCAAUAUAGUUUGCUGCAAUUUAGUUUCCUAAGCAGUUCCUGUUAGUUAUAAGUUUUCUGUUGUGUUGGUUUAGGGUGUCAGCAACUCCCCAAAGACAAAGAGUCUAAUUGGACCAAUAAGCGACUGGGUGAUGGAUUGGAGAACUUUCUGCCGCCACCCUACAAGAAACAGAACAUCACCUUCCUCUGCGGCGACUAUGUCGGCCCUGUUUCUUCUUGGUCCCAGAUGGACAACUUCAGCAUCAACUGGUGUCUUGGAGACAAGGAUAUUGAAGUCCUGGACUGUAGCACCGGCCUCCUUGUUGAUGGCUCUCCUACUGUGAGUGGACCUGGGUUCUCCAGCAGACUCUGUAAGAGAGCCCUUUACCAGUAUUUCCUCACGGCUGCAAAGUUAGGUGGACAUGACUAUCUCCUGAAACUUCCCACCUACCACAGCGUCAAGCAAGUGCCUGCUCCAGCCAGAUGUUGGAUACAUGUCCCUGUGUGAAGGCGGACCUCCGGUGUCUGUGGGGUUCCUCUGAGCUCGAGGAAGGACCAGGGAAUUGACGAGAAGGCCUGGAAGGAAGUCCCUCUCUGGCUGGAGUCAGAGGACGCAGAUGUGCUUUCUGUGGAGUUGGACUUCACAGAGUGGACCGAUGGCAGCGACUUUCCUGGAGGAUUUAAUUUGGGCUUGGCAGCGGCUCCAGCCGAGGCUGAGUUACUCCACUCUGCAGGAAGACAACAGAUUAUAAACAGGAUUGUACUCGUCCAGUCUGAAGCGGCCGAGGCAGAGAUGAAUCCUCCACUGUUUCCUGACGUUCUCCUUCAUCAGACAGUGAAAGAGGAAGAUGAAAAGUCCUGAAACACAAAGAGAAGAGACGUCAGAGUCGCUAAAGCUCCGGUGGAUGACACAGUUUUUCUCUGAACGUCUCGGGUUAUUUGUCCCUGAAAAAGACUGUGCUCAGCAGGGGCCAAUCAGCCGAGGGCUUUUUUACGUCAGACUGAGAUAAUACAUGAAAGUACCAUAAGAGUGGUGGACCCAGGAACAGGCAGGUGUGAAACGGUUGCAUCGUUUAGCCUGCUUUGAUUAUUUUCUUCAGACUUAUGUAUGUGGCAGCAAAUGUUCUCUGAACGGUUACUCAACAAACUAACACAAUGGAACGCUCACAAUGGGCUCCAUACAAAUGUGGACACUGUGCCCUGUUGUGCCCUGUUGUGCCCUGUUGUGCCCUGUGAUGCUUUCACUUCACGAGAAGCUGCCAGUUGUGGAGAAGUGAUCAUUACAGUAAUCACCACAAAAAACUAAAAUCAUUCUUGAUUCCAGAUUGAACUGCCUAGAGGGCCGGUUUUGGGCCACGGGCUGUAUGUUUGACACCCCUGUCUUAGAGUAAUUCUCCUAAUUAACUCUUUACACUACGGGCCCUGCCACUAAGGGGUCGUGGAGUUACAGCAGAAAAGUCUAGCAAGGAAGGUUAAUUUUCAGUAUCUCUGUAUUUGUGCUUGUAAUUUGUAAUUGUAUUAUCAAUAAAUAAAAAAAUGCUCAAAA